rnacentral:rRNA from 1 species
AGAGUUUGAUCCUGGCUCAGGAUGAACGCUGGCGGCCUGCUUAGCACAUGCAAGUCGAACGCACCUUCGGGUGAGUGGCGGACGGGUGAGUAACGCGUGGGAAUCUGCCCUCAGGAGGGGGAUAACGGCUGGAAACGGCCGCUAAUACCCCAUAUGCCGAGAGGUGAAACGAAUUUCGCCUGAGGAUGAGCCCGCGUCUGAUUAGCUAGUUGGUGGGGUAAUGGCCCACCAAGGCGACGAUCAGUAGCUGGUCUGAGAGGAUGAUCAGCCACACUGGGACUGAGACACGGCCCAGACUCCUACGGGAGGCAGCAGUGGGGAAUUUUCCGCAAUGGGCGAAAGCCUGACGGAGCAACGCCGCGUGAGGGAUGAAGGCCUCUGGGCUGUAAACCUCUUUUCUCAAGGAAGAAGACAUGACGGUACUUGAGGAAUAAGCCACGGCUAAUUCCGUGCCAGCAGCCGCGGUAAUACGGGAGUGGCAAGCGUUAUCCGGAAUUAUUGGGCGUAAAGCGUCCGCAGGCGGCCCUGUAAGUCUGUCGUUAAAGCGUGGAGCUUAACUCCAUUUAAGCGAUGGAAACUACAGGGCUUGAGUGUGGUAGGGGCAGAGGGAAUUCCCGGUGUAGCGGUGAAAUGCGUAGAUAUCGGGAAGAACACCAGUGGCGAAGGCGCUCUGCUGGGCCAUAACUGACGCUCAUGGACGAAAGCCAGGGGAGCGAAAGGGAUUAGAUACCCCUGUAGUCCUGGCCGUAAACGAUGAACACUAGGUGUCGGGGGAAUCGACCCCCUCGGUGUCGUAGCCAACGCGUUAAGUGUUCCGCCUGGGGAGUACGCACGCAAGUGUGAAACUCAAAGGAAUUGACGGGGGCCCGCACAAGCGGUGGAGUAUGUGGUUUAAUUCGAUGCAACGCGAAGAACCUUACCAGGGUUUGACAUCCUGCGAAUCCCUUGGAAACUAGGGAGUGCCUUCGGGAGCGCAGAGACAGGUGGUGCAUGGCUGUCGUCAGCUCGUGUCGUGAGAUGUUGGGUUAAGUCCCGCAACGAGCGCAACCCACGUCUUUAGUUGCCAGCAUUCAGUUGGGCACUCUAGAGAGACCGCCGGUGAUAAACCGGAGGAAGGUGUGGAUGACGUCAAGUCAUCAUGCCCCUUACAUCCUGGGCUACACACGUACUACAAUGCUACGGACAAAGGGCAGCAAGCUCGCGAGAGUUAGCAAAUCCCAUAAACCGUGGCUCAGUUCAGAUCGUAGGCUGCAACUCGCCUACGUGAAGGAGGAAUCGCUAGUAAUCGCAGGUCAGCAUACUGCGGUGAAUACGUUCCCGGGCCUUGUACACACCGCCCGUCACACCAUGGAAGUUGGCCAUGCCCGAAGUCGUUACUCCAACCCUUGUGGAGGAGGACGCCGAAGGUGGGGCUGAUGACUGGGGUGAAGUCGAAACAAGGUA